rnacentral:tRNA from 1 species
GGGCGGUGGAGACACGUCAAAGUGCAAAUUUGAAGGAGCACCCCAAAAAGGUGCCCCGGCU